GGAGUCACAGUACCGCGGUUAGCGCUUUCCUGGCCUACGUGUGUAAAUAUAUCUGUCUGGGAUGGUCAGAAGACGUGGGCGCCCGCGAAAUGAUGUAUUAUUUUCCUUCAAUUAUCUGUUUUAAUGUGUGUCUGCAUCCAAAUGUUCUUAUGGAAUCAGAAAUGGAAUAAAUAAACUAAAAAUUCUUCCUCCAGGUCAUCUUACCAUCUGAUCUCUAGAGAGUAGCCAAUGCUGAAUAUGCUGAACUAGGAUUAGAGAGUAUUGUAAUAGGAUAAUUAAAUUUGAUUAGAAAACAACUGUGGGAUUUUUGUCAACAGUGAAGAAAUUAUCUAACAACUUGAGUACUUAGCUUUCAGUCAUAAGAUCACUUCAUGGGCCAUCAUGGUUACCACUGCUACAGACAUCGUUUGUCCAUUCCAAGCAGCAGUAAGAGGAGACAAGAGAGGACAACACCCUUCCAGUUAAGUCAGUCCCUUCUGAGGAACCUCCUCCUCAGUCACAACAUUUCUGCUCAUAUCUUAA